rnacentral:lncRNA from 1 species
UUCAUCAUUUUUAGUUUCAAACCCUAAAAUUAGCCACUAGAAAAGAAGAACAUUUGGUCAAGCUUAGUUUGAUUGCAUGGUGAGUUUUCAAGCCCCGUUUUUAACAUUUUUAUGUUUUUGAUUUCGUUUGAGCUUAAUCUAGGUACCCCGGGGGUUCAUUUGCAAAACUAUUAAAGGAUGAGGGACUUACCAUGAAUCCUUGAAUGAUAUUUUAUGUUAAUUGAUAGAUUAUGAAUCUUUGUUGAAAAAUAAACAAG